rnacentral:lncRNA from 1 species
UUUUUUAAGGCAAAUUACAAAGGUAAAAGAGAAGAAGAAAAACCAGAACCGGAUAAGAAAGUCCCUAAGCAACAGCAGUGAGUCCUAGCAGCACUGGUUACCGUAUCUGUGCAAGUGAAAGAGAUACUGUAAAACGCUCUGCCUCUCCCCAGCCUCCAGGAAAGCUUGUGCUCUAUGCAGAGCAGCCAUCUCAGCCAGCACCCAUACACAUUUGUGCCCUUGGAGCCAAAGUCUCUCCAUCACUUCAGCCACAUGAACCUGCACACGGACCAGUUUCCAGUGUAUAUGUAAAACUGCUGACAUGCCUUGUCACAGUGUCCUACACCCUUAGCAGGGAGGCUGUCACAUUUUGGAAGGAUUUCCAGUUUCCAGUUCCAUUUGGCACAAUUCAACCAUCUCCUGACCAUUUGCUCUUUUACUGCCUUAAGCUGGGGAAGCAAAAUCAGACGGAAGGAUAUAAUUUUACAUGGAAGCAAAAUGUUACUACUUGUACUGGGGAACAGAAAGUUAAAGUACGUUUGCAAAGCGGCCUAAAUUCUACCGAGGAGGAGUAGUUAAGUAAAGCUGCUGCCCUGCUCCAGACCAACAGCAGUUUCUGCACAUGAGCAACCUGCUUUCACUGAAAGGCUUCAUCUCCAAGAGUGCAGUUUUGCAUUGGCUUUGGGCCAUCCCACAAGCUUCCCAGAGUUUCUCUCUUACAGAGGGUACACACACAGCCUGAACUGCCUCUGCUAGGAAUGAUCCAGUCAGAUGGAGAAAGCUGUGGAGAGCAGUCACAGUUUGGGAUGCAUCUCUCCUGCUCCAUGGAUGCACACUACAACUUCCCAGCAAAUCCACAAGUGACAACAAACUUGGAGAACUGGCAUGGACCAAAAAAAGGCCCCGUGUUUAAUUAACCAAGCAAAAUGGAGUAUGCUAUAGGACAUGUUUCCCUCAAAUCCACUACUGUUACAGUUUCUAAUGAGGUUCCCUCAAGGGAAAGAAGUGCUCUGUUUUAUAAAGAAAAUUGUCAGUUCUGCAUCUAUCAACUAGGAAGGCUUUUAAUGAGGAGAGCUACUGAUCCAGAAUGACUCGCUACUGAAAGGUAUGAUGUAUACGUAAGAAAACCUUCCUACAGGACUUAAGGUUGAUAUCACACGCUGUGGUUAAAAUUGGAUUUUUUACAUCUUUUGUCUGGGGUGGGGGAGCCAACCAUUUCCUGAGAUGCCCAAUAUCUGGAUUUUUGUUAAGAAUUGUAACUCACAUCAAGAGAUUAUUUGUAUAUAUUUUGGGAACACCUCUCUGGCUAUUUCCUGACAGUGAUGACAUCACUUUGGGUAUAACCUCCAUUCAUUAGUGAGAAGCUCCCUACCCUUAGGUGGCCUUCAGCCAGUUGGACCAGCUGCACUAGGCAAC